ACGUGAAGGUAAGCAAUUCUAAAGAGGAUUUCCAUAAUACUGCAAGCUCCAUCCCUCCAAUAGACAAUCAAGUCCUAACAAGCAGCGGUUUAUUGUCACGUUGCUGAUGCCGGAAAAGGUCUCUGUUGACAGCACGAUCCCUCAAAGGCCUUGUCCAUUUCUGUGAAUCCAAUUUCCAGCACAUAGAGAUCUAAAGAUUGAGGCAAAUGUGGUCUUUCCUCCUUGCAACUCUGAAUUAACAUGCAAUAAAGAGCAGAAAAAUGGAGACCUGGAAGCAGACCUCUUAUUUGAGAACAGAGAUAUACCAGCGCUUUUGAAAUGAUCUUUGGAGUCUACCGGAGUAUUGCACAGAAGGAAUGAUCCAUUCCGACUAGCGCAGAUAAAUAAUAUACUUCGGAAAGGAAAAUGCGAGAGCACCGUGAAACGGAAAGCCCUCCUUGCUCUACUCAGCUGAAAUCCAGUCUCUCCUCCACAAGAAAUCCCUGUCUAUGCUUCCUACGUCCCACAGAGGAGUUUAAUAAAAGAAAAGGAUUGGGGCCUGAGGUUUGCGGGUUCAGAUCCCAGGUGCAGACCUACUCCACUCAUCGGCCACGCUGUGGAGGCAUCCCACGGACAAAGGAGAGGAAGACUGGCACAGAUGUUAGCUCAGGGUAAUCUUCCUCCUAAAUAAAGAAAUAAACCCUUCAGAAAAUGUAUUCAUCCACCACAAAUUCCUGAUUUCCAAUAUGUCUUCAAACAUUCUACAGAAGAUACCUGUUCCUUCAGAUCGGAAGUGAUGCCAGAUCACCAUGUCCUCACUUUAAUUUCCUCGUGGACCUGUCAGUCCUACAUUCCACGGACUGUGAUCUCAAUAAUUUCCUUGAAAUAAUCAAAAAUUCCUUACCACUCGUCUUAUUUGUGUUGUAAAACUGGAAACCCGGGAGAUCCUGAUUAUCUGCUUUGCCAUUCUACUGCUAGUCUUAUGAUAACUGCUGAAGAAAAAGCACACAACACGAUAUUUUGUCAUCACCAUAAAGACAAAAUCAUCUGCAUCAACUGGGAAGCAUCCAUAAUGCCUGGACAUUUUUUUUCUUUUUUCAUCUCUCGGGUCAAUAGCAAAAACACCAAGGCACUCAGU
rnacentral:lncRNA from 1 species